rnacentral:piRNA from 1 species
AGCCUGGCUGGGUUGUUUUGGACC